AUUGAACGCUGGCGGCAGGCCUAACACAUGCAAGUCGAGCGAGCGGCGGACGGGUGAGUAAUGUCUGGGAAACUGCCUGAUGGAGGGGGAUAACUACUGGAAACGGUAGCUAAUACCGCAUACCAUCAGAUGUGCCCAGAUGGGCUUAGCUAGUAGGUGGGGUAACGGCUCACCAAGGCGACGAUCCGUAGCUGGUUUGAGAGGACGACCAGCCACACUGGGACUGAGACACGGCCCAGACUCCUACGGGAGGCAGCAGUGGGGAAUUUUGGAAAAUGGGGGAAACCCUGAUCCAGCCAUCCCGCGUGUGUGAAGAAGGCCUUCGGGUUGUAAAGCACUUUCAGCGGGGAGGCGUUACCCGCAGAAGAAGCACCGGCUAACUCCGUGCCAGCAGCCGCGGUAAUAC
rnacentral:rRNA from 1 species